ensembl:lncRNA
AUUACAUCCUUUUGCUGGCCAAUGAAAACCCAGAAGGGCAUUUCUGGCGGGCCAGAGAGACACUGGACCAAUGCUAUAGAUUGUGAGCCAUUUUCUGGACCGCUUCGCAGAGAAGGCGGGACUUCUGGCUUUUUACCAGCCCCUUCCCCUGCUGUCUGUGGAGCGGGCCGUGUCACCUGGUGGUUUACUGCCGCAAGGGCGCUUCCGGAGGUUCGUGAGAACUGAAAAGUCAAGAACUUUAGGCCUCUGUGAUUAUCACCUUCCCCAGAGUCCAGAUGACCGUGGCGUGUCCGGAGGGUUCCAUCCAAAGACUGAGCGUGUGCACCAUCUCCUAUGGGGAUAUCCGUCGAACGGAGAUAGACAGAGGCUUCAAAAGACCUCCAGGUCACGACUCUCGCCCGGCCAUUUUCCUGGCUCGCUUUUCCUUGCUACUGACAUAAUAGAUGCUGACAUGAUCUUUGACUAGGACCUCCCGAGACUUUCCCCGAGCGUUUGUUUUUACUUGAUGCCGUGCUUCUCUGCUACACAAUUGCAGAGGUGGCUUUUACUACACUGUUAAUGGUCUGUCAUGGGAUGAAUCACCUUGAACUGGGGUUGACUUCUCACAAACCACUUGGUCUUCCAUAGGAAUCUCUGCUUCCACACUACAGAGCGGGAAAAGGGAAACCAGGAUAGUUGGAAUGAAGCUAUGACCAAAAAGGUCAUAUACCCUGUGAAUGCAAGUCAGGUGUGGAGGGCCCUUGGAAUGGAUGGUUCUGUCUUGUCCAGACACCAAGGAGAGUAGCCAUACCUCCUUUCCGUCUUCCUCUCCCAGUUCUGACGCUUCAUCCUAUUGUUCCCUGACUCCUGGGUUCUAACUGGUGUUCGCUAAGCAUCACUUUUUCUACUUUCCCCCUUAUACUUCAUCUUUUCUGUUUCUGGCCACCACAUAACAUGUCUUGAGCUGUGAGAACAUAUUGCUCUUCAAAUGUGGCUCUACUCCGUUCCCGCAGGAUUCUUUCCAUCCAAGGCCUUCCUGGAAAUCCAUAUCUGAAGUCACAUUUAAUUUUUUUAAAAGAUUUAUUUAUUUAUUUAUUUAUUUAUUUAUUUAUUAUGUAUAAGUACACUGUUGCUGUCUUCAGACACACCAGAAAAGACAUCAGAUCUCGUUACAGAUGGUUGUGAGCCACCAUGUGGUUGCUGGGAUUUGAACUCAGGACCUCUGGAAGAGCAGUCAGUGCUCUUAACCACUGAGCCAUCUCCCCAGCCCCUCAGCUUGUACUCUUACUAGCCUAGCCCACUCUAGUCCCUUCUGCCACAAAGGUCAACUAUGUAACAGCCCAGAUCAUCCAUCCACAGGGUUUUGCUUCUGUGCUUCCUUUUGCUAAGAGAUGGCUGACACUGAAUUUUGUAGCUAAUGCUGUGAUGUUAGAACUGAAGAGAAGAUGUCAACCACAGAGAAUGAAAACUGAGGAAAAAGAGCAACUUGGACUUGUCAUCCACUUGCAACUGCUGUGCUUAACUUCUAGAGACCGGACAGUUUUCUAUCCAGUCUGUGGCACACAGGGAUAAUUCUGCUCUGAACACGGCGUCGCUGGUAGGUGAAGGAGUGGGUGGUGUCACGGGAACAAUUAGAGGUAAAUAACUCUCCUACUUGCAGAUGAUGUAAACCCUAAUCAAUAAAGCCUCGACAAACUGUUUUUGGUGGUGAAUGAAAUCAAAAGUUCUAUUCAGUAUCUGGUUUCAGGUACUAAUUUGAUUUGGGGCUCAUAUUAUAGCAGGAAGUCUUUCUCUGAGCCAGACAUUAUGCAGUAUGCCUGUAAUUACAACGCUUGAAAGGCUGAAGCAGGGGGAAUGCAAAUUAGAGGCCAGACUUGACUCCAUAGGUACAAGGUCAGCCUGGGCUACAUGGCAAGAUCUUUUCUUAACCAACACCCUGCCCCCCUCAAAAAAAAAAAAAUCAAUAAACAAAAGGAACUUUUACUCAGCAAUGCUUUCCUCAGUGGCCGUUGAUUGGCAGGCCUCCCUUUAGAGUCAAGAUAGAUGUCAGCAGACUUAUUUCUAAUUGGUCAGAGUCCUGGGAGCUUAGGUUUGGAAUAUU